rnacentral:rRNA from 1 species
UCCUGGCUCAGGAUGAACGCUGGCGGCGUGCCUAACACAUGCAAGUCGAGCGAUUCUCUUCGGAGAAGAGCGGCGGACGAGUGAGUAACGCGUGGGUAACCUGCCCUGUACACACGGAUAACAUACCGAAAGGUAUGCUAAUACGGGAUAAUAUGUUUUUGAUCGCAUGGUCGAAAUAUCAAAGCUCCGGCGGUACAGGAUGGACCCGCGUCUGAUUAGCUAGUUGGUGAGGUAAUGGCUCACCAAGGCGACGAUCAGUAGCCGACCUGAGAGGGUGAUCGGCCACAUUGGAACUGAGACACGGUCCAAACUCCUACGGGAGGCAGCAGUGGGGAAUAUUGCACAAUGGGCGAAAGCCUGAUGCAAGCAACGCCGCGUGAGCGAUGAAGGCCUUCGGGUCGUAAAGCUCUGUCCUCAAGGAAGAUAAUGACGGUACUUGAGGAGGAAGCCCCGGCUAACUACGUGCCAGCAGCCGC